rnacentral:rRNA from 1 species
AUGCCCUUUUCCUACACACUAGUUGCAUGUCUAUAGAAGGAUGAUUUGAUUAAAUAUAAAAUACAACUUUCAACAACGGAUCUCUUGGCUCUCGCAUCGAUGAAGAACGCAGCGAAAUGCGAUAAGUAAUGUGAAUUGCAGAAUUCAGUGAAUCAUCGAAUCUUUGAACGCACCUUGCGCUCCUUGGCAUUCUGAGGAGCAUGCCUGUUUGAGUGUCAUUAACAUCUCAAGACCUGUCUGCUUUUGAUAGGUAUUGGAUUCUUGGGGGUUGCAGGCUGUUUCAGAUAGCUUGCUCUCCUUGAAUGUAUUAGUGGAGAAAGAGCCAUUGAACUCCAUUGGUGUGAUAAAAUCUAUCAAUGCCAGGAGCCAUGUUAGUUUUCUCUGCUGUCUAACUCUAACAGUCGUCUGUAUAAAAUGGACAACUCAACCUAACUUGACCUCAAAUCAGGUAGGACUACCCGCUGAACUUAAGCAUAUCAAUAAGCGGAGGAAAAGAAACUAACAAGGAUUCCCCUAGUAACUGCGAGUGAAGCGGGAAAAGCUCAAAUUUAAAAUCUGGCAGAUGCUUGUCUGUCCGAGUUGUAACCUAGAGAAGUGUAACCUGUGCUGGACCGUGUACAAAUCUCUCUG